UGGGGAAUCUUGGACAAUGGGGGCAACCCUGAUCCAGCCAUGCCGCGUGAGUGAUGAAGGCCUUAGGGUCGUAAAGCUCUUUCGCCUGUGAAGAUAAUGACGGUAGCAGGUAAAGAAACCCCGGCUAACUCCGUGCCAGCAGCCGCGGUAAUACGGAGGGGGCUAGCGUUGUUCGGAAUUACUGGGCGUAAAGCGCGCGUAGGCGGACUGAUCAGUCAGGGGUGAAAUCCCGGGGGCUCAACCCCGGAACUGCCUCCAAAACUAUCGGUCUAGAGUUCGAGAGAGGUGAGUGGAAUUCCGAGUGUAGAGGUGAAAUUCGUAGAUAUUCGGAGGAACACCAGUGGCGAAGGCGGCUCACUGGCUCGAUACUGACGCUGAGGUGCGAAAGUGUGGGGAGCAAACAGGAUUAGAUACCCUGGUAGUCCACACCGUAAACGAUGAAUGCCAGUCGUCGGGUAGCAUGCUAUUCGGUGACACACCUAACGGAUUAAGCAUUCCGCCUGGGAGUAC
rnacentral:rRNA from 1 species